AAUAGCAGAUCAAAGACUAAGAACGCCGCGUCCUGCGGCAACGUCUUUGUGACCCCCGUCCUGGGGG
rfam:Bacillus sp. MTM 13 22, whole genome shotgun sequence.